rnacentral:misc_RNA from 1 species
AGCCACUCGCACGGCAGCGCCGCCAGCCCAUCACUCGCUCGCUCUCUCUCUAUCAUCUCCGAGGCUGCGGCACAGCGAAAGUGUGCUCCGUGUGCAUACCACAACGCCAACGAGUGCGAUCGAGUCGAGAGGAAAGUCCAGCCCCCCCCCCCCUCCCCUCCGCAAGCGGACCCCUCAGGGCCAGGCAACACAGGAGCUGCUCCGAUUCAUCGCUGUGCGAGGCAAAACAAAAGACUCCCGCGCAGACACGCGCAACAAACAAAAAGAGGGAGCGAAAGGGAACGGAGUACCGCAACUGUAUAUUUGGAAAACGUGCAUACCUCUCUCUCUCUCCCUCUGUUGGUCUGUGUGUCUGCCUGUGUGUGUAUGGGUGUCGGUGUUACAGCGGCUACGUCGGUUGUGCUUUUUUUUUUGUUUUCUAGUGUGAGUGGCUGUGUGCUGCCUGUCUUGUGCGCGUGCUGGUGCGGAGAGGAAGCGACCCCUUGUUUUGUUUUCGUGUUGUGCCUCUUGCGCAUGGUGUGCGUGUGUGUGUGUGUCUCUGUGCGACAUCGUCGGCGUAAAGAAAAACUCCCUUUUCCCUUUUCGUCUAAGCCAUGUUCUCGAGAGGCGUGAACGAGGAUGUGCUCAAGUCAGAGGGGCACAACGUGCCGAGGCCGAUGACGGAGGUGGAGCAGGCCAACGCGGAGCCGUACAAGAUGCGAUUCUGGUACAACUUCGUGGACCCGCAGCAUAAGAACCACAAGCGGCCUCUGGUAGAUGUGUCGUCGCCGUUCAACGCGCUCGAUGAGACGCACCAGGCCCGCCGCUACGGUGUGCAGAAGGUAGCUGUGGGCUUCUUAUCGCUCAAUGAGUUUAUUGGCACUCAUGAGGAGGUGCCCUACACAGAGAGCCACCACACCAGCGAAAUCUUCCGGCUGUGGAUGGUGGGGCUGAAUGUGUGGUACAUGAAUUACUUCAUAGCACGUGCGCAGGUGUCCGGCAACGCAACCGGCAACCCGCGCACCAAAUUUGCCUGGACGAUAGCGAUGAUGUUAGGCAUGAUCCGCGUGAAUAUUGCCGGCCUCAUCGGUGUUGGCGGCUAUUUCUACUCUUACGAGUACCUCUACACCCACGGCCCGAAGCCGUUCCGCAUCCGCGACCCGACUCCCAAUGGGUGGAAGCGAGCCUGGGAUGACGGGCAGGAGUGCUACCUGCCGCGCGCAGCUGCGAGCGUGUUCCCGGCGCUCGGGUACGCCUUCUUCAUGGGCCGCUGGAAGAAGUCUGGUUUCUGGUUCACGACCACGCUCUGCGCCGGCAUCUAUUACGAGUACGCCCGCCGCAACAUUCUGUCAGGCUCUCGGCUCUUCUACAGCUACCUGGCCAACCAGGACUCCCAGCGCCAGGCAGCCUGGGGCUCGCUGGCGCCGAACUUGAAGCACCUCGUGGACCCGGACACGAACCGCAACGAGAGCGUCGCGCAGUUCAAGUACUUUCGCAUCACUUCUGGCACCCUGCAGGACACGGUCUGGAGCAACUGCACGCACGAGACCCAGCCCCUCGCCCGCGGCGGUAUCAAGAUCCCGAACCCGUACUUCAAUUGGCGCAAGGCGCCGCAGAAUUACAAUGCAAAACCGUGGAAGGUCAAGAAUGAUAUGUGGGAGAUGCCCCAGGUCCUUAACGCGCAGAUGCGGAGUAACGCGAUGGAUUAGAUGCGGAUUUGAGGCACGCACGCACACGCACAGCUGCUAUGGAGGAAGAGGUGAAGGAUCGAGUCGAAAUAACGGAAGUGAAACAACCCAAGAUGUCCGUGGUGAUGACACUCCGGCAACGAAAACAAGUACACGUAGAGAUCACGAGUCGCCAGCGGCACAUGAAGCGCCGGCUCUGCCGAGACAUGCGGGUCGACGCUCGCGAAAGGACGGAGGAGAAGAUUGGAGAGGGUCGAGGGGCGCGCGCGAGUGAACUUCCUCGUGCUUGCCUUCCUACACGCGCCAUAGUGUAGGCUCACGCUGGCAUCACGGACUGACCGGCUCUAUCGGUGAUGUAAGCGGCGCGUGCUAUGCAGCUGCUGCCGUGACGCUGUUGCUGACCUGUAAGCCGCCCUGCUUUGUCUUCUCUGUUGUGGCGGUGCUAUCGUUUUGUCCUCCUCAGCUUUACAUGCUCUCUCUGCUGUCGCUGCGCCUGCGCGCGUGUGUGCUUGGGUUUGUGCUUGUGUGUGGGUGUGGGUGUGUGCGUGCGUAUAUGUGCAUAGGCGUGUGCGCAUAUGUGUGUGUGCUUGCGGCGUGAACCGAUGCGAUGUGGUGGCGUGCAAUGAGUUUGCUCUUGGCUCUUGCCCGUGCAUGUCUUCUCCCCUCCUCCUUUUUCUUUGCGGUCUCUAGCCGUUAGUGAAC